rnacentral:sRNA from 1 species
CAUAAGCUGGAGUGGUGACUAUAUCUGUCUUAUUCAACAUCACAUCCCCAGCCACCUAGCAGAGUGCCUUGGGCUGGUACACGCUUAACUACACACAUGAGUGAAUGGAGCAGGGCUCAAAACGUCAAUGCCUACCAGAGCCUGCCAGGCUUAGGGUGUGGAGGAGCCUCGCCAUCGGGCUUCCUGUCUCUUCAUUUAAGCACGACUCUGCAGAAGGAACAAAGCACCCUCCCCCUGGGCUCCUGGUUGCAGAGCUCCAAGUCCUCACACAGAUACACCUGUUUGAGAAGCAGCGGGCAAGAAAGACGCAAGCCCAGAGGCCCUGCCAUUUCUGCGGGCUCAGGUCCCUACUGGCUCAGGCCCCUGCCUACCUCAGCAAGGCCACAAUGAACCAGGGAAUCCCUUUUAGGCACUUGCUUCUGGUGCUGCAACUCGUGCUACUCCCAGCAGCCACUCCGGGAAAGAAAGUGGUGCUGGGCAAAAAAGGGGAUACAGUGGAACUGACCUGUACAGCUUCCCAGAAGAAGAGCAUACAAUUCCACUGGAAAAACUCCAAUCAGACAAAGAUUCUGGG